rnacentral:rRNA from 1 species
GAUGAACGCUGGCGGCGUGCCUAACACAUGCAAGUCGAGCGAUUCUCUUCGGAGAAGAGCGGCGGACGGGUGAGUAACGCGUGGGUAACCUGCCCUGUACACACGGAUAACAUACCGAAAGGUAUGCUAAUACGAGAUAAUAUACCUUUAUUGCAUGGUAGAAGUAUCAAAGCUUUUGCGGUACAGGAUGGAACCGGGUCUGAUUAGCUAGUUGGUAAGGUAACGGCUUACCAAGGCGACGAUCAGUAGCCGACCUGAGAGGGUGAUCGGCCACAUUGGAACUGAGACACGGUCCAAACUCCUACGGGAGGCAGCAGUGGGGAAUAUUGCACAAUGGGCGAAAGCCUGAUGCAGCAACGCCGCGUGAGCGAUGAAGGCCUUCGGGUCGUAAAGCUCUGUCCUUAAGGAAGAUAAUGACGGUACUUGAGGAGGAAGCCCCGGCUAACUACGUGCCAGCAGCCGCCGCCGUAA